rnacentral:rRNA from 1 species
GACGAACGCUGGCGGCGCGCUUAACACAUGCAAGUCGAGCGAGAACCGGGACUUCGGUCCCGGGGACAGCGGCGAACGGGUGAGUAACACGUGGGUAAUCUGCCCUCGAUUCUGGGAUAGCCCGGGGAAACCCGGAUUAAUACCGGAUAGCCUUUCGAGCCUUCGGGCGCGAAAGAAAAGGUAGCUUCGGCCUCCGAUCGAGGAUGAGCCCGCGGUGGAUUAGCUUGUUGGCGGGGUAAUGGCCCACCAAGGCGACGAUCCAUAGCUGGUCUGAGAGGACGAUCAGCCACACUGGGACUGAGACACGGCCCAGACUCCUACGGGAGGCAGCAGUGGGGAAUCUUGCGCAAUGGGCGAAAGCCUGACGCAGCGACGCCGCGUGGGGAAGAAGGCCUUAGGGUUGUAAACCUCUUUCAGGUGGGACGAAGCCACUCGGGUGAAUAGCCCAGAGGGUGACGGUACCGCCAGAAGAAGCCCCGGCUAACUACGUGCCAGCCGCCGCUGU